rnacentral:rRNA from 1 species
AUUGAACGCUGGCGGCAGGCCUAACACAUGCAAGUCGAGCGGAGCGGCGGACGGGAGAGUAAUGCCUAGGAAUCUGACUGGUAGAGGGGGGGAACAUCCGAAAACGAACGGUAAUACAGCAUACAAUCAGAUGAGCCAAGAUAGGAUGAGCUAGUUGGUGGGUUAAAGUCCUACCACGGCGACGAUCCAUACCUGGUCUGAGAGGAUGAUCAGUCACACUGGAACGGAGACACGGUCCAGAAUCCGACGGGAGGCAGCAGUGGGGAAUAUUGGACAAUGGGCGAAAGCCUGAUCCAGCCAUGCCGCGUGUGUGAAGAAGGUCUUCGGAUUGUAAAGCACUUUAAGUUGGGAGGCGUUACCAACAGAAUAAGCACCGGCGAACUUCGUGCCAGCAGCCGCGGUAAUAC